rnacentral:rRNA from 1 species
GUCGAACGAUGAUCUCCAGCUUGCUGGGGGGAUUAGUGGCGAACGGGUGAGUAACACGUGAGUAACCUGCCCUUGACUCUGGGAUAAGCCUGGGAAACUGGGUCUAAUACUGGAUACGACCUUCCCACGCAUGUGGUGUUGGUGGAAAGCUUUUGUGGUUUUGGAUGGACUCGCGGCCUAUCAGCUUGUUGGUGGGGUAAUGGCCUACCAAGGCGACGACGGGUAGCCGGCCUGAGAGGGUGGACGGCCACACUGGGACUGAGACACGGCCCAGACUCCUACGGGAGGCAGCAGUGGGGAAUAUUGCACAAUGGGCGCAAGCCUGAUGCAGCGACGCCGCGUGAGGGAUGAAGGCCUUCGGGUUGUAAACCUCUUUCAGUAGGGAAGAAGCGAAAGUGACGGUACCUGCAGAAGAAGCGCCGGCUAACUACGUGCCAGCAGCCGCGGUAAUACGUAGGGCGCAAGCGUUAUCCGGAAUUAUUGGGCGUAAAGAGCUCGUAGGCGGUUUGUCGCGUCUGCCGUGAAAGUCCGGGGCUUAACUCCGGAUCUGCGGUGGGUACGGGCAGACUUGAGUGAUGUAGGGGAGACUGGAAUUCCUGGUGUAGCGGUGAAAUGCGCAGAUAUCAGGAGGAACACCGAUGGCGAAGGCAGGUCUCUGGGCAUUAACUGACGCUGAGGAGCGAAAGCAUGGGGAGCGAACAGGAUUAGAUACCCUGGUAGUCCAUGCCGUAAACGUUGGGCACUAGGUGUGGGGGACAUUCCACGUUUUCCGCGCCGUAGCUAACGCAUU